UUUUUCAAGUUAAACCGAACUCAGCCGUUUCCACGCCGUCUGCAGCUUGUUCUGCUUCCCCGUCCCUCUCCCCUCUCCGAAAGAGGCCCCUCCUUGGAUAUUCACAGUUGAAAAAUCAAGCCAGGGGAAAACCCGGGUCCAGGAUCCCUACUCUCGCCGCCAUUUUGAAGAGCGCGUUCUUGAAAUGUUGCCUUAGUCAGUGAACUUGCUGGAAUAUCGUGUGCAGGAAAUCGGUAAGGGGUAUAGAAUUGAUUGGAUUCCUGAUGAACAUCCAAGGCAGUUUAGUGGGUGGAAGUAUAUUUUGUUGCAAAAAGUCAUCGUCUCUGCAGAUAACGAUGAGUUAGCAGUUAUGGUUUUUCUGAAUUUGGAGUGGAUGGUUUGGAGGAGCUGUGAUAAGAAAUGGGUCGACUUGGGUUGUGCCAAUGUUGAUGUUCAGGAUAUUGUUUAUUAUUAGAAGCAGUUUCAUGUAGUGAUGUCAGAUGGGCAUAUUUUAAGUGUUGAUUCGAAGUCUUUGGAGGUUAGUGAAACUUUGCCUCUAUUGUUGAUUCGUUUUACUUACAAAAGCUUUGUAAAUACAUCGAUUGAUUUGUAUUUGAUUAAAAAUCGCAGUAGUAGUGAUAAAAAAUUUGGAAAUAAAAGAAAUUUCUCUCCAGCUAGGGCUGAGAAAGUGGUUUUGAAUUCUGUUUUCUAUGUGUUUAAGCUUGAUGAAGAAGAACAAGAGUGGAUUGAAGUGAAGGAUUUGGAGGGUAAAGCAUUGUUUCUGUUUGAUGGAGGCAGCUUUUUUUUUUGCUAAAGACUUUUUGGGAAUAAAACCAAAUUGUGUUUGUAUGGGUGAAACUGAUUUCUUUGGGGUUACAUAUGAUUUUCCUGGGAUGUAUACUUCAGUUUUCGACUUCAAUGACGGUAGUAACAAGUGGCUUGUAUCAUUUCCUGAAUCUUCUGAGAUAUUUUGGCCUCCACUAGUUUGGCACUUUCCUGAAUAAUCCAAGCUUUAGCCACUUGUGGGUGCAAACUCUUGGAUAACCAUUCAUCCAGGUUGUUAUGGAGAUAGUUAAAUUACUCUUUGCGGAUUGACAAGCAUGAGAUUCAGGCGUUAUGAUUUAUGAAUAGUUGUAUGCUUUAUGUAGUUUCUCUGUUUACUCCAGUUUCAGAUAGUCAACUUUUAGGGAAUGGUUGCAAAACUCCAUGAUCUCUCUUCUCUCAGCCAUGAUUCAUUGUCACAGGCUACUCUGUUUUUCAAUUUCAGUCCUUGACAGUCUCUCUAUAUUUUCAUAUGUCAAAAACAAAUAUUUAUCUGUAAACUAAGUUUACUUUUUAUCUCUUCUUUCAUGGAUCGUAUCCUAUUGAAUAACUGUCACCAUUUUGUCAUGAGUUAACUGUUUUAUUUAAUAAUUUGUUUUUGUGAUUUAAUGGAACUUUCUUAUAUCUGGUUGAUUAAUUUGUGUCUAGUGGCGGAUUCACAAGUUUUUGUGGCUUCAGUAUGUUCAGCCUUUGGUGCUUUCGCCAGCUUCUAUGUGGAUUUUUUCCAUGAUGCGUCUACUGAUUGAUCCCUGGAUUCUUACUCUAUCAAAUCUUUACUGAAUUGAAUCUUUUUCAUUGUUGUUUACAUAUGAAGCAUUAUUUUGUUCCGAGUUUAAUGGAAAGGUAAUUGAAGAGCUUCUAUGGAUCGAUUCGAAUACAUUUUAUCAAAGAAGUUCUGUGAUCAACUGCUUGUCGAGCAUUUUCGUUGUCAAUGUGAAGAUUUGAUAAACAGCCUGGUCAGACCAUGCCCGGAAUAUUUGUGAGUAUGUAUAUAUGCAUUAUGGAUCUUAAUGUUAUGAAACAAGAUUUAAGCUUAAUCAUUUAGGUCUCGUCUCCUGAUUAAGCCUUAGACUCCUUUAUAUCAUCUCGCCUUCCUAUACUUUUUGAGCUGCUAAUAUUGUCCUGAUGAGCUUAGAGUCUUUCAAUUCAUUGUUAAGAGAAUUGAUAAUCUGGCCCAAGUAGGGUUACAAGAGUGGAGUAGCUCACAAGCUGUUUGUGGCUCGGUUGACAUCGAGCUUUAUUAUUACAUGUGAGGUACUUGAAGAGCUUCUAUGGAUCGAUUUGAAGACAUUUUAU